UCUCGGUAUUUAAACGAUAAUUAGUGUUGAUAAAUGUAUUUUUCUUUCAACGUAAUCGAAAAUUAUUUAUAAUUUUCCUAAUAACAAAGAAAAAAUUGCUUGGUUCUUUUAACCUAAGUUGGUACACCUUGAUUUUAAAUUUGUAACUAAGAUGACCUUGUUUUAUUUUUGACAGCGGUUUCGAAUUAUAGGUUAGGUUACCUCCACCGCAAUAUUUCGAUUUAUUGAGCGAAUUCUUUUUGGAACUAAAUAAAUCAUGAUCAUUUUAAGGCUAUAUUUAUGAUAAUGACCGUUAUUGUCAUUAUCAUAAGGGGUUUAAAAUCAACAGGAAAUGUUAUGAUGCUUUGGCCAGAUAUUAAAAACCUAUUACUUAGUACUCCACCAUUCACAGGAAUUAGUAUCUCUUUUAGGUUUUGGACACUGCAGAUAAUAAUCAAGCUCAACCCCAAUAAGACUUUUUUCUACACUAUUUAAUACAACUUUAUUUAUAUCA